GUGCUCACUUUAGCAACACAUAUACUAAAAUUGGAAAAAUAAAGAUUAACAUGGCCCCUGAACAAGGAUGACAUGCAAAUUCAUCAAUUGUUCCAUAUUUUU